UACAGAGGUCCCGAGCGUUGUUCGGACUCACUGGGCGUAAAGGGUGCGUAGGUGGUGAGGAAAGUCGGAUGUGAAAUCUCCGGGCUUAACCCGGAAACUGCAUUGGAAACUACCUUGCUAGAGGUUUUGAGGGGGGACUGGAAUUCUCGGUGUAGCAGUGAAAUGCGUAGAUAUCGAGAGGAACACCAGUGGCGAAGGCGAGUCCCUGGAAAACACCUGACACUGAGGCACGAAGGCCAGGGGAGCAAACGGG
rnacentral:rRNA from 1 species